AGGGCUGCAUGGUGGUCGGCUGGUCCUUUCGGUCCUUUGGUUCCAGACUGCUGGAGUGCACUGAAAAGCUUCCACUGUGUCAGAUGUGAAAUGGACUGCAGCUACGCAGAACUCCCACUCAUUUGCAAACAGAAGGUCUCCGUCUGGUACUAAUGGCUUUAGGAAAUCCUGACUUUAGACCAACACCAUUCACCAUACAGAGCAACAGAUGGAGGCUACAGACGACCACUCAUGGCAGACCAAACAACACAGUCAUCAGUCAUAAGCGAAAUAAUGGACUGGUCACUGUCCUAAACACUCCCAAGUAUCUCCAUUUUUCUACAUCAUUUGAGCACCAGCUGCAGGAAAAAAUUCAUGAUGAACUGUCCAACAGGAAUGUUCCAAAAUAGUUUGGAUUAAAAUCUCUUUACAUUAACUUACAUUAAAACUUAUGAAUGUUUUUGCCAUCUCCUUUAAAGAUUCCAUUCUGGAGACACUUGUUUUUCUUUGGAUAGUGGCGAUAUGCAGCCACACUUUCCCUGGCAGAAAAUAAAGUGGAAGACACUCACCUGAGUCUUAGCUCUCAUGAAGGGAGCACUAACA